rnacentral:snRNA from 1 species
GCAGCGCAUAAACUAAAAUUGGAACUAUACAGAGAAGAUUAGCAUGGCCCCUGUGCAAGAAUGACAAAAAUUUGUGAAGCAUUCCAUAUUUUU